GUGUGCGUAAUUUAAAAAAAAUAUCGAGCCGUGACCUCGAAAACAGAGACCACUCUCACACACCG
rnacentral:tRNA from 1 species